rnacentral:rRNA from 1 species
AGAGUUUGAUCCUGGCUCAGGACGAACGCUGGCGGCGUGCCUAAUACAUGCAAGUAGAACGCUGAAGAGAGGAGCUUGCUCUUCUUGGAUGAGUUGCGAACGGGUGAGUAACGCGUAGGUAACCUGCCUUGUAGCGGGGGAUAACUAUUGGAAACGAUAGCUAAUACCGCAUAACAAUGGAUGACACAUGUCAUUUAUUUGAAAGGGGCAAUUGUUCCACUACAAGAUGGACCUGCGUUGUAUUAGCUAGUAGGUGAGGUAAUGGCUCACCUAGGCGACGAUACAUAGCCGACCUGAGAGGGUGAUCGGCCACACUGGGACUGAGACACGGCCCAGACUCCUACGGGAGGCAGCAGUAGGGAAUCUUCGGCAACGGGGGCAACCCUGACCGAGCAACGCCGCGUGAGUGAAGAAGGUUUUCGGAUCGUAAAGCUCUGUUGUAAGUCAAGAACGGGUGUGAGAGUGGAAAGUUCACACUGUGACGGUAGCUUACCAGAAAGGGACGGCUAACUACGUGCCAGCAGCCGCGGUAAUACGUAGGUCCCGAGCGUUGUCCGGAUUUAUUGGGCGUAAAGCGAGCGCAGGCGGUUUGAUAAGUCUGAAGUUAAAGGCUGUGGCUCAACCAUAGUUCGCUUUGGAAACUGUCAAACUUGAGUGCAGAAGGGGAGAGUGGAAUUCCAUGUGUAGCGGUGAAAUGCGUAGAUAUAUGGAGGAACACCGGUGGCGAAAGCGGCUCUCUGGUCUGUAACUGACGCUGAGGCUCGAAAGCGUGGGGAGCGAACAGGAUUAGAUACCCUGGUUGUCCACGCCGUAAACGAUGAGUGCUAGGUGUUGGAUCCUUUCCGGGAUUCAGUGCCGCAGCUAACGCAUUAAGCACUCCGCCUGGGGAGUACGACCGCAAGGUUGAAACUCAAAGGAAUUGACGGGGGCCCGCACAAGCGGUGGAGCAUGUGGUUUAAUUCGAAGCAACGCGAAGAACCUUACCAGGUCUUGACAUCCCGAUGCUAUUUCUAGAGAUAGAAAGUUACUUCGGUACAUCGGUGACAGGUGGUGCAUGGUUGUCGUCAGCUCGUGUCGUGAGAUGUUGGGUUAAGCCCCGCAACGAGCGCAACCCCUAUUGUUAGUUGCCAUCAUUCAGUUGGGCACUCUAGCGAGACUGCCGGCAAUAAACCGGAGGAAGGUGGGGAUGACGUCAAAUCAUCAUGCCCCUUAUGACCUGGGCUACACACGUGCUACAAUGGUUGGUACAACGAGUUGCGAGUCGGUGACGGCGAGCUAAUCUCUUAAAGCCAAUCUCAGUUCGGAUUGUAGGCUGCAACUCGCCUACAUGAAGUCGGAAUCGCUAGUAAUCGCGGAUCAGCACGCCGCGGUGAAUACGUUCCCGGGCCUUGUACACACCGCCCGUCACACCACGAGAGUUUGUAACACCCGAAGUCGGUGAGGUAACCUUUUGGAGCCAGCCGCCUAAGGUGGGACAGAUGAUUGGGGUGAAGUCGUAACAAGGUA